GAUGAACGCUAGCGGCAGGCCUAAUACAUGCAAGUCGAGGGGUAACAGGGAAGCUUGCUUCCGCUGACGACCGGCGCACGGGUGCGUAACGCGUAUGCAACCUACCUAUUACUGGGGGAUAGCCCGAAGAAAUUCGGAUUAAUACCCCAUAGUACAAUUUGAUAGCAUUUGAAGAUUGUUAAAACUCCGGUGGUAAUAGAUGGGCAUGCGUAAGAUUAGAUAGUUGGUGAGGUAACGGCUCACCAAGUCGACGAUCUUUAGGGGGUCUGAGAGGAUGAUCCCCCACACUGGAACUGAGACACGGUCCAGACUCCUACGGGAGGCAGCAGUAGGGAAUAUUGGUCAAUGGAGGAAACUCUGAACCAGCCAUGCCGCGUGCAGGAAGACGGCCUUCUGGGUUGUAAACUGCUUUUAUUAGGGAAGAAACGCUCCUUGCGAGGAGAACUGACUGUACCUAAAGAAUAAGCACCGGCUAACUCCG
rnacentral:rRNA from 1 species